rnacentral:rRNA from 1 species
CCUACGGGUGACAGCAGUGGGGAAUAUUGCACAAUGGGGGAAACCCUGAUGCAGCGACGCCGCGUGAGUGAAGAAGUAUUUCGGUACGUAAAGCUCUAUCAGCAGGGAAGAAAAUGACGGUACCUGACUAAGAAGCCCCGGCUAACUACGUGCCAGCAGCCGCGGUAAUACGUAGGGGGCAAGCGUUAUCCGGAUUUACUGGGUGUAAAGGGAGCGUAGACGGCAGCGCAAGGCUGGAGUGAAAUCCCAUGGCUUAACCAUGGAACUGCUUUGGAAACUGUGCAGCUAGAGUGCAGGAGAGGUAAGCGGAAUUCCUAGUGUAGCGGUGAAAUGCGUAGAUAUUAGGAGGAACACCAGUGGCGAAGGCGGCUUACUGGACUGUAACUGACGUUGAGGCUCGAAAGCGUGGGGAGCAAACAGGAUUAGAUACCCGAGUAGUC